rnacentral:rRNA from 1 species
UGCGGCGACCAUGGCCCAGGAAAGACGCCCGGACCCAUUCCGAACCCGGAAGCUAAGGCCUGGCACGGCGAUGGUACUGCACCCGACAGGGUGUGGGAGAGUAGCACGUCGCCGCAC